rnacentral:rRNA from 1 species
UACGUAGGCAGCAAGCGUUGUUCGGAGUUACUGGGCGUAAAGGGUGCGUAGGCGGCUUUUUAAGUUUGGUGUGAAAUCUCCCGGCUCAACUGGGAGGGUGCGCCGAAUACUGAGAGGCUAGAGUGUGGGAGAGGAAAGUGGAAUUCCUGGUGUAGCGGUGAAAUGCGUAGAUAUCAGGAGGAACACCGGUGGUGUAAACGGCUUUCUGGACCAUAACUGACGCUGAGGCACGAAAGCGUGGGGAGCAAAAGGG